rnacentral:hammerhead_ribozyme from 1 species
AUCCGGCUGACGAGUCCUACAUAGGACGGGACGCGCGUCCCAGAU